rnacentral:rRNA from 1 species
GGGGGCGAGCGAACGGGGAACAGCCCAGAGCCUGAAUCAGCUUGUGUGUCAGUGGAACGGUCUGGAAAGGCCGGCGAUACAGGGUGACAGCCCCGUACACGAAGGCACACAGGCUGUGAGCUCGAUGAG